AACCUGCAAUGCAUUCAUGUGUCUUCUUCAUCCUCCUUCUCCUCCUCCUUAUCAUCAUCAUCACUGACGUUGUUGUCAUCAUGUCAUCAGCUUGAAAUGACCAGUGUUGUCACCGUCUUCAUGAUUGUCAUCUUUAUCAUGACUGUCAGUGUGCCCUUGUUGUCACAUGAUUCACGGUAUCGGUCUUAAUCAUAAUGAUGAUUGUCGUUUCAUAAUCAUAUUGUCAUCAUCAUCAUCAUCAGAAUUAUUAUUGACAUUGUCUUCAUCCUCAUAUUCUAAUUCUGAUUGUUUUUAUCAUCAGCAUUACAAUCAUAAUCAUAAUCAUGUCAAUGUCAUCAGAAUCAUGAUUGUUAUCGUCCUGAUUAAUUAUUGUUGUUUCACCACCAUAAUUAUGAUUGUCGUCGUCAUCAUCGUGAUCAUCAUUGUGGUCAUCAUCACUACAAUUGUCAGUAGUCAUUGUCAUCAAUAUCAUCAUCACAAUUGCCAUUGUUGCUGUAAUUGUUAGCAUAAUUCUCGGCAUCACCCUCAAAUAAAGUCACCAUCAUUAUGCAUGUUGUCAACGCCAUCAUCACAUCAACAUGAUUGUCGUCUUUAUAGCAUUGUAGCCAUGAUCAUCAUCAUGGUUGUUGUCAUCAUGACUGUCAUCACUGUCACAAUCAUCAAAGUUAUGAUCAUCAUCAUAACAUGAUUGUCAUUGUCAUCCUGAUUAUCAUUGUGUUAUCAUCACCAUAAAUAUGAUUAUUGUCACCAUCAUCAUCUUAUAUUAAGGACUG